rnacentral:rRNA from 1 species
UACAGAGGGUGCAAGCGUUGUUCGGAAUUAUUGGGCGUAAAGGGCGCGUAGGCGGUGCGGUAAGUCUGCAGUGAAAUCUCUGGGCUCAACUCAGAGUCUGCUGUGGAAACUGCCGUGCUUGAGUGUGGGAGAGGUGAGUGGAAUUCCCGGUGUAGCGGUGAAAAUGCAUAGAUAUCGGGGAGGAACACCUGUGGCGAAAAGCGGCUCACUGGACCACAACUGACGCUGAGGCGCGAAAAGCUAGGGGAGCAAACAGGG